UAGGGAAUCUUCCGCAAUGGUCGAAAGCCUUACGGAGCAACGCCGCGUGAGUGAUGAAGGUCUUCGGAUCGUAAAACUCUGUUAUUAGGUAAGAACAAAUGUGUAAGUAACUAUGCACGUCUUGAUGGUACCUAAUCAGAAAGCCACGGCUAACUACGUGCCAGCAGCCGCGGUAAUACGUAGGUGGCAAGCGUUAUCCGGAAUUAUUGGGCGUAAAGCGCGCGUAGGCGGUUUUUUAUGUCUGAUGUGAAAGCCCACGGCUCAACCGUGGAAGGUCAUUGGAAACUGGAAAACUUGAGUGCAGAAGAGGAAAGUGGAAUUCCAUGUGUAGCGGUGAAAUGCGCAGAGAUAUGGAGGAACACCAGUGGCGAAGGCGACUUUCUGGUCUGUAACUGACGCUGAUGUGCGAAAGCGUGGGGAUCAAACAGG
rnacentral:rRNA from 1 species